AGAGAGUUGGCAGAGCGGUCGAAUGCACCUGUCUUGAAAACAGGAAUCCUUUCGGGGAUCGGGGGUUCGAAUCCCUCACUCUCUGCAA
rnacentral:tRNA from 1 species